UGGAGGGUCAAACAAGAUCUUGGUGAUUGGACAAUUGUGGUCUGGAGUUAUCUGUAGUAAGGAAGCAACUAUUUUCAGGUCUUUAUUCCAGGGGGCCAUUUACUAAGCCUAUUUUCCCUUUUUCUGUGGAGGAGCCCUUAUCGUAGGGUCCUCACUUUAUCAGUGAUCUCGUUCUCUGCUACCUAGAGGUUGUUACAUCAGUCGGAGGAUAUUCAAAUGAAGCCACAAAUAAGCCUUG